AGGCAGCAGUUGGGAAUCUUCCGCAAUGGGCGAAAGCCUGACGGAGCGACGCCGCGUGAGCGAAGAAGGCCUUCGGGUCGUAAAGCUCUGUUGUGAGGGACGAAGGAGCGCCGUUCGAAGAGGGCGGCGCGGUGACGGUACCUCACGAGGAAGCCCCGGCUAACUACGUGCCAGCAGCCGCGGUAAUACGUAGGGGGCGAGCGUUGUCCGGAAUUAUUGGGCGUAAAGCGCGCGCAGGCGGUCUCUUAAGUCUGAUGUGAAAGCCCACGGCUCAACCGUGGAGGGUCAUUGGAAACUGGGGGACUUGAGGGCAGGAGAGGAGAGCGGAAUUCCACGUGUAGCGGUGAAAUGCGUAGAGAUGUGGAGGAACACCAGUGGCGAAGGCGGCUCUCUGGCCUGCACCUGAUGCUGAGGCGCGAAAGCGUGGGGAGCAAACAGGAUUAGAUACCCGAGUAGUCC
rnacentral:rRNA from 1 species